GGGGGGGGGGGGGGGGGGGCUGGGGGGGGGCGGGGCGGGCGGGGGGGCCGGGCGGGUGUGGGGGGCUGGGGGGGCGGACGGGUGGUUAACGCGUGGGUAACCUGCCCGUGACGUUGGGGUAACUUCAGGAGACUUGGGCUACGACCGGCGCUGAGCUCCUGCUGCAUGUUGGGGGUUGGACAGUUUCGGCGGUUGGGGAUGGACUCGCGGCUUAUCAGCUUGUUGGUGGGGUAGUGGCUUACCAAGGCUGUGACGGUUGGCCGGCCUGAGAGGGUGACCGGCCACAUUGGGACUGAGAUACGGCCCAGACUCCUACGGGAGGCAGCAGUGGGGAAUAUUGCACAAUGGGCGGAAGCCUGAUGCAGCAACGCCGCGUGCGGGAUGACGGCCUUCGGGUUGUAAACCGCUUUCGCCUGUGACGAAGCGUGAGGGACGGUAAUGGGUAAAGAAGCACCGGCUAACUACGUG
rnacentral:rRNA from 1 species